AUGUCUUUGUUUUCAUCAAAUCAGCAAAUGCAAAACAACAACGCCAGAAGGAGGAAACCCCCACCAAGCUUCAUUAAAAAUCGUGAAAAUAACAGAGAAAGCUUGAAAACAUGUGGUAUGUUGCUUAUCCAAACAAUGAUGAUGAGAAUUACAAGAGAAGGACAAGGAAGCAAGAAACUCUGUUUGUAUAUGGAUGAGAUGCUUCACAGCAUUUUUUUUCUGGGAUACAUUCAUCAAGACCGCUUGAUUCCUGAUGACUUUUUCGAAAUUUCCACCGCCCAGCAAGACAUGUGUAACAUGUUUCCUGGGCCAUUUAGGAAGUACAACAGUCACCUGCCAACUCGUACACCCUUUUCUAUUCUGCUUGACAUGAUGGAGAUGCUCUAUUCCACUGAAAGAAUCAAAGAGGAACUUCUGCAUCUGCUAAAGGAAAUGAAAUUCCCGAACCCUCUUCACAAACCAGGCAGUAAACCGGAGCAGUAUUACACAUUAGAGUCAACAGUGAUCUGUGAGUGUUCAGAUUCAGACUCACAGAAACAUUAUGGAGCGUCUCUUUGCUGCAGGAAAGGAGCUGCGAAGAAAAUUCUGAUUGAUCUGUCAUGUCUUAAAACAUGGCAUAAGUAUGUCUCUCACGCUGUCAUGUCAUUUUCUUCUGGAGCUGGCGAUGGUAUAACAUUCCCAGAGUCACUGCGAUGCCAAGCAUAUGUAAGAAAUUGGAAAACAAAUGUUUAUGAAGAAAGAAAUCCAUGUUUCAACUGUGGAAAUUUAUUUAAUCUACAAGAUGCUGACCUGGAUAAAGUAGAGUACCCCUUUGGUAACUGUGCUGAGACAGAAUGCCUGAGCAAACUGCUUAUUAAUAAUCAAUAUAUGCAUGAAAAUGCAGUGAUUAACAAUCACACAGAGGAAAAUGUAGAGGAACUCAGAAGUUCAACAAAAGCACAUUUGAUAGAGCAGCUUGUCAAGGUUGGCAUUAAAGUUAAUGAUAAUAACUUACUCUUUUAUAGUCCAUUCCAGAUGCAAACAGGAGAUUGAGGUGUUUUAUCUUCUGUUUUAGUGUUUCCAAUACCAAUACAUGUAAUACUACAUUGGAUUGUCCUAGUGAAUGCCAUUCAAUAGUGCAAACUGAUGGAUAACUGCAUCACCAGUACUGAUUGAAACAAUGUGAAACAGGCACUAAUCUGCUCUUCAUGUUUCUAGCACUUUAAAGACUUAAGUAUCAUUGUGUUUCUUGCACUACUCUAAACUGUGGCAUUACAUGAAACACACCAAUUGUCUGUAUUGCUCAUUAGUUUUUUCCAAGAUGUUGCUUAAAUAAAGCACAUGCAUGAUUCAGUAUAACUUCAUGAACUAUUAAUUUAUUUUUAACAUGAAUGUCUUAAUUAAUUCCUUAAAGGUGCAGGACCCACUGGCGGGUCAAAAGUUAUACUACACACUUCUGUAGCUAAUAAAAAAAUAAGACUUAAUAUGUAAUAAGCCUGGGAUUUUAAGGGGUUUACCAUGUAUGUUGUUUUUUCAAGAUGUAUCUUAAAUUAAACAAAUGCAGUUUGUGCCAUAAAUGUGCUGUAAUUGGAGAAUUGGUGCUAGUAACCAGGUUCUAAUCCAGCAUUGACUUCCAUUUGUAACAGGUCAGGUUUGCACUAAAUGUACACAGCCUUGGUAGUAUUUCUAAAAACUGUCCAUUAUUUCAGUUGCCAUAUGCUGUUGUUUUCUUUUGAUAAGAUAAAAAAAAAACCAAAAGUAAAAUAAAGUUAUAUUUUCCUUUAAAAUGUUUCCUUUGCAAUCCAGUCCUGUAGCAGACCAAAUGCACUUUCCUCAGCCUUCUCAUGAAGUGCAGACCCUGUACAUUUUAUUCAAUGAAUAAUUUUCACUUCAUUACUUAACCCAGUCUACAGACGUCUCAGAUGGGAUUCUAAGCUUCAGGUGGUGGAUGUAUGAGCUGUGUGUUUUUGCAUUUUUUGCAUCAAAUGUAGUUUGGUUUGCAUAUUCUUAUUGUUUGGUCUAAACAAGCUAUGGGUAAACAGAGAGAAAGAAAGUGAGAGAGCACUUUUUAUUACAUACAAUCUUGUGCUUUGAUUGGUUUCUGCAAAUUCCAAAAUAACGGCAUAAGAUCACAUCAUAGAUGUUUGGCUGAGCUGUGGCUUACUAAAGACCCUGUGAACACAGUGUUCUAUCACCUGUGUAAAGUUACACCUUUAAUGACUGGGCGGAGGCUGGUUUAUGUUUCAUUACCUCACAACUGAGUUGUUGCUGGGCACCCAAAUAGCCUUAGUUUGUUUCGGGUGUGUCAUAAAACCUCUACAGUGUCAUAAAACGGCUAAGACAAAGACCAGAGUGGUUUACUUCACAUUUUAAAUGAGCUUUUUUGGUAUGUAUGUAUUAAUGUAUGUACAAAAAAGCUGGGACACUGCAGAAUGUAAAUAAAAUAGAAUGCAAUGAUAUGCAAAUCAUGUAAACCAUAUUUUAAAAAGAAAAUACUUCAUAGACAACAUAUCGAAUGUUGAAUGUGUGUUUGCUCAUGCAGUCUUUCACAAAAUGGUGAACCCCUCCUCAUCUCAGCCUCUCUGAGAAUCUCUUUACAAUAACCAGUAAUGUUACUGACCUGCUGCCAAUUGACCUUCAGGUGUUUUUUUUAAGCAUUAAACAACUUUACCAGCAUUUUGUUGCCCCCAUCCCAACUUUUUUGGAACGUGUUGUAUGCCCAAAUUCAAAAUGGGUGUAUUUAAAAAAAAUAAUAAAUAAAAUUUCUCAGUUUCUACAUUUAGUAUGUUGUCUUUCUACUAUUUUAAAUGAAAUAUGGGGUUUAAUUGAUUAGCAAAUCAUUGCAUUUUGUUUUAUUUACAUUUUGAACAGCAUCCCAACUUUUUUGAAAUUGUAUUGUUGUAUGUAUGUAUGUAUGUAUGUAUGUGUACACUUUAAAUAAGGUUUGUCAGUUCACCCUAUAAAAUUACUUUGUGUAUUAAUUAAUAUUAACCAUUAAUAUAUUGGUGGAAAAAAUUAAACAUAAAACUGGCCCAUUGAAAAGUUAUGGCACAUUUUAUAUUGUACAUUUGGGUUUUUUUCAGUGUGCUAUACUUUGCAGACAAAUGCCACAUUUAAGGCUGUUCUCUGAAGCGAAUGCUUUAACUUAUUUUCACUUAGAAAAUCAACAAAGCAUGUAAGUUGACUGCUUUGUAGCAAAUGGGAGGAACAAAUAUUCUAUAUAUUAUAUCUACACUGCAAAAAUGAUUGAAUGUAAGUGUACUGGAUUUAAGUUAGCCCAGAAAAAUGCCAUCAAAAUAUGAAGGGAAAUGGGUUAUUUUAGAAAUUAACAUACCUGUUUGUUUGAAGCUUUUGGGUUCAUGUACCUGCGUGGCGAGGAAGUAAAGACAAUCUUAACAAAACAUAAUGAAUGCAGUGUCCUAAGUUUCAUCCUGACUGCCUGCCUGUCUUGUCUGUCUUGUUUAUCUGGUUCUGACUGUCUUGUUUCUGCAUAAUCACCGUGUUGUUUUGGGUACAUCAAAACUGCUAAGGUUAGGAUCA
ensembl:lncRNA